CAUAUUAAAAUUAAUAAUAAAUUGUGAAAAGGAUUCUAGUAGUGACUGCAAGAUCAAAUCUUGAGAAAGCUCUUUACCCAGUUUGCACCCCAACUUCUCAAGCUCUUCAAUAAGAUCAAUCAUAUGAUUGACGUAGGGUCCAACUGGUGAGUUUCCAGUCAAUUUGGAUCCAAAUAAAGCCUUAGAUAGUUGGUAUCUAGCUGUCCUGCUUUGUGUACCAACAUCUUCUUA
rnacentral:lncRNA from 1 species